rnacentral:rRNA from 1 species
CUGAGCGGCGGACGGGUGAGUAACGCGUGGGUAACCUGCCUCAUACAGGGGGAUAACAGUUAGAAAUGACUGCUAAUACCGCAUAAGACCACGGUACCGCAUGGUACAGUGGUAAAAACUCCGGUGGUAUGAGAUGGACCCGCGUCUGAUUAGGUAGUUGGUGGGGUAACGGCCUACCAAGCCGACGAUCAGUAGCCGGCCUGAGAGGGUGACCGGCCACAUUGGGACUGAGACACGGCCCAG